UCCCUACAAAAACGUUUUAAUAGUAAAACUUCAGAUGGAAUUUUCCUGAAGAGACUGCCCGACCGUGUAAAUGUUUGAGAGGUUGGAUUUUUAUUUUCCUAACUUGACACCUUCCCUUUUUGCAUCCUCCAGAAUGCAUUUCCUUACUGUAAGUUUACCUGCAUCUGCCAAACAAUGGAAUUCACCAUCAAUGUGCAGGAAAGGGAAUGCAGCCCCUUACAGGGACCUUCAGCAUUUUUUUGAGUUCUGCUAAUGAAGAAGAAACUCCCAGCCCCACCUCAAGAACAUCAAACAUCAUGCCAUGAUACUUCCAUUGCCCAGACUGACACAUCGCUAAGCCCUGAAAUGGAAAAACCAAAGCAGUUGGUUUUACCUUAUGGCUGGGAAAGUAAUGUGGACAGAUCAUCAGGUUCAAGGAGCAGUUGCUUGAAGACAAAACAAAGGAGCCUGGGAACAAAG
rnacentral:lncRNA from 1 species